UCACUAUCACUAUCAUCAUCAUCCUUCUUGAUGGUUGCCUUUGAUGAUGUGCUUGCUUCUUUCUCUUUGUUCUUGUGGCUUGCCUUGAGAGCUACCUCAUUGUUCUUCUCAAUUUGCUCAUGAAUCUUGGACAUUUCUUGGGAUAGCUUGGAUUCUUUGACGAUAAUGAGAUGUUCUUCAAUCAUUCCAAUCAUAUCCACCGGUGUGAACUUCUUGAAUCCUCUCUUCUCCUAAUCAAGAUAGGAAGUUGAACAUCUCUAGCCAUGUAGGCCGAGAGGAUCUUCUCAACCACUUCUUU
rnacentral:lncRNA from 1 species